rnacentral:snoRNA from 1 species
CAUGCCAUAAAAGCGAGGGCUAUAUCAAUAAAUCAGUUGAGUUUUUCGCUAACAACGUUUCGUAUGAUAAUAUUUGAACGUAGUUUGAUAGUAGAUCUCAGCACAGUA